rnacentral:tRNA from 1 species
GCCGCCGUGGCUCAGUGGUAGAGCACAUCCUUGGUAAGGAUGUGGUCGUGAGUUCGAUUCUCACCGGCGGCACCA